rnacentral:lncRNA from 1 species
UUUUUUUUUUUUUUUUGGAAAAGCACUUUAGUACCUUAUGCAUACCAAAAAACUCUAAUGGGCAUGAUAAAUGUCAAGUGAAUUAACAAAUAUUUUAGCUAACAGAUAUAAAGGAAAGCUUAAGAUUUUGGUCUGGAUUCACUGCCUUGGAAUCAGACUACUAGAGAGAGAGGAAGGAGAUAAAACAGAAUAAAAAGAUGGUGUUCCCGUUGUGGUGCAGUGGUUAACGAAUCCAACUAGGAACGAUGAGGUUGCAGGUUCGAUCCCUGGCCUUGCUCAGUGGGUUAAGGAUCCGGUGUUGCCGUGAGCUGUGGUGUAGGUUGCAGACGCAGCUCAGAUCUUGUGUUGCUGUGGCUGUGGCGUAGGCCGGGUGACUACAGCUCCAAUUGGAACCCUAGCCUGGGAACCUCCACAUGCUGAGGGACCGGCCCAAGAAAUGGAAAAAGAAAAAAAAAAAAAAAAAANGAAAUGCCAUCAUGCUUGAUUCUUUUGCUUCCUGUUUCAUUCCUCUACCUCAGUGCCUCCCCCUCACCCCACCUCCUGCUACAGAACAAUUUAUCUGCUUGAGGUAAAGAAUCCAUGAGACAACUCUGAAAUCAUUUAUAUAUUUACUCAAAUUUAUGAAGAAAACCUAAGCAUGAAAAAUUGGAAUUUAGGAAGUUCCUUUGUGGUGCAGCAGGUUAAGGAUCCCAGCACUGCCACAGCUAUGGCACAGGCUGCAACUGUAGCCUGGGUUUGAACACUGACCCAGGAACUUCCACAUGCCACAGGCACAGCAACCACCACUGCCCCAGGGCCACCAAAAAAAAAAAAAAAAAGGAACUGAACUAAACUUUUUCAAAAAAGAGUCUAAAUGAAGAAUUAUGUGACUGCCACUGGAUAGGCUCUUGUGUCACGUUAAAAAAUUGACACUGGGGGGCUCCUGUCAUGGCUCAGCAGUAACAAACCCGACUAGUAUCCAUGAGGACUUGGGUUCUAUCCCUGGACUCCCUCAGUGGGUUAAGAAUUGGAUCUGGCAUUGCUGUGGCUGUGAAGUAGGCCAGCAGCCACAGCUCCGAUUUGACCCCUAGCCUGGGAACUUCCAUAUGCCAUAGGUGUGGCUCCACAAAGACAAAAAAAAAAAAAAAAAAAAAANAUGGUUAGAGAUUUCAGUAAGCCCAGAAAAUAGGGAUUCCUUCAAAAUAAUAUGAAUCCAUCUUUUGUAGCCAAGUUAUAAACUAAUCUCUCUCUUCCCCAUACAACUUACUAUGAAGCCUUGGUCUAUUGCCAUUUGGGCUUUUUCAAAGGUAUCUUUUAAAAACAUUUUUAUAAAAUGCUGCUACUUAAAAAUAGCUUAAAAUGUCAGUAAAGUUCUCAUAGUCUAAAAUUAAUUUCCCCCCAAAAGGACUAGAGUAUCACCAGUACAAGUUCUUAAUGGAAUUAUGCCAAAUAGUGACAAAUCCCCUGGUGACAUUCCAUAACUCAUUAAAAGAAAGUUUAAGUAUCAUGCAAUUUGGGUAGAAAGACUAGUUUAGCCAGAUUACCCAAGAAUGGAGUUACUAGUACUGAUAACAUCUCAUACAACUUGAAGUAGCCUUAUACAUUACACUUUCAUGGAAGUGUCUAAUAAUUUAAAACGUCUAUAGCACAAGGUAAUUGAUUAUAUUCAAAAGCAGCAACAAAAAACCUAAAUUAUCAUGAAAGAUUUUUAAUACAAGCUGAGUGUUUCUAAAGCAACUACUGUCAAAAAGUUUCUCCCUUCACUGCCCAUUUCAAAGCUACCUUCAAAUACUCCACAGCCCUAUCUGAUCUUAGGAAUAGGAACUAUUCAAAGUGUUAAAGGAAAGGAAGAAAACACAGGGAAGUCUAAUUAACUGGACAACUGAAAAAAUUUUCCGUGUCAAAAUCGACAUAAAAAAUUAAAAGGCAAAAAAGUACUCUUAGAAACCUUUUAAACAACCCCAACACACACACACACGCAAUUCAAAACUGUCAAGUAUUUGUUUUCCUUGGGAAUUUAAAAAAUACAUAUAUAUUUUUUAACCUAGCAGAAUCAAACAUUUUUAGAAGUCCCUGAUAAUAUUAAGAACACAAUAAGUGAAAUUUUAAUACAAUGAUAGUGGGACUGUAACCUUCCUAGAAGGUAACUGGUGAUAGUUACUAAGAAUCUAAAAAAGGUACAACUUCCAGUUUUAAAAUAAAUAAGUAGUGGGAUGUAAUAUACAAUAUGAUGACUAAAGCUUAACACUGCUAUAGAGUAUACCUGAAAGUUGCUAAGAGAGUAGAUCCUAAAAGUUCUCAUCACAAGAGAACUUUUUUUUGGAGUAACUAUAUAAUGUGACGAAUGUGAACUUUUUUUUUUUUUUUUUUUUUUUGGCUGUGCCCAAGGCAAGAGGAAGUUCCCAGAGCAGGGCUCAAACCAACAACACCGCAGCAGCUCUCCGAACUACUGCAGUGACAAUGCCAGAUCCUAAAACGGCUACACCACAAGGGAAUUCCUAACAAUUUUCAUUGUAAUAAUCAUUUCACAAUAUAUCUAAGUCAUUAUGCUAUACGCCUUGAACUUACACAGGGCUACAUAUCAAUUAUAUCUCAAUAAAACUGAAAGGGGAAAAAAGGGCUUCAAAAAAAUGUUUAUCUUCUUUGAUUUAGCAAUGACCACUCCUGAGAAAUAAAGAUUAAAUGUAAAUAUUUCCAUAAGGAAAAUCCAUAGGAUCAUUAGUUAUAAUUUAUAUAACUUGUAAUAUAAAAAUAACCUAAAAUUGGGGGAAUCCUAUAUGAAAGAAUGCUAUAUAUCACUUUGAAAGAGUAGUUAAUGACAUUGGAAGAUAAAAUUUGUUUUUAAAAGAUUAAAUAUUGUAGGAGUUCCCGUCGUGGCACAGUGGUUAACGAAUCCGACUAGGAACCAUGAGGUUGCGGGUUCGAUCCCUGCCCUUGCUCAGUGGGUUAACGAUCCGGCGUUGCCGUGAGCUGUGGUGUAGGUUGCAGACGCGGUUCAGAUCCCACGUUGCUGUGGCUCUGGCAUAGGCCGGUGGCUACGGCUCCGAUUCGACCCCUAGCCUGGGAACCUCCAUGUGCUGCGGGUGCGGCCCAAAGAAAUAGCAAAAAGACAAUAAAAAAAAAAAAAAAAAAAAAGAUUAAAUAUUGUAAAUGCAUCUAACUCUUAAACACACUACGCACAUUUAAAAAAAAACAAAACAAAAAAAUUUGGCCAAAACUUCUAAUCUUCA